rnacentral:tRNA from 1 species
GACGUGGUGGGCCGAGUGGCUAAGGCGAUGGACUGCUAACCCAUUGGGCUCUGCCCGCGUGGGUUCGAAUCCCAUCCUCGUCG